ACGAACGCUGGCGGCAGGCCUAACACAUGCAAGUCGAGCGCCCUUUCGGGGGAGCGGCGGACGGGUGAGUAACGCGUGGGAAUAUGCCCUUCUCUACGGAAUAGCCUCGGGAAACUGAGAGUAAUACCGUAUACGCCCUUUGGGGGAAAGAUUUAUCGGGGAAGGAUUAGCCCGCGUUGGAUUAGGUAGUUGGUGGGGUAAUGGCCUACCAAGCCGACGAUCCAUAGCUGGUUUGAGAGGAUGAUCAGCCACACUGGGACUGAGACACGGCCCAGACUCCUACGGGAGGCAGCAGUGGGGAAUCUUAGACAAUGGGGGCAACCCUGAUCUAGCCAUGCCGCGUGAGUGAUGAAGGCCUUAGGGUUGUAAAGCUCUUUCAGCUGGGAAGAUAAUGACGGUACCAGCAGAAGAAGCCCCGGCUAACUCCGUG
rnacentral:rRNA from 1 species